UAAAGGAAACAUAUCAUUACAGUGAGUAAAUUUUACAUAAGAUGUUUUUCAAGCCAUACGAACAUGUCUUAAUGAGACUAUUCAACAGAAUUUUCAACCAAUUUAUCGUCAUCAUUGUACCUCACGGACCAGGCAUGUGUCGCCCAAGGAAAAAUCUUCACAAAUAUAUCAAUCUGCACCAAAAAAUGACCAUAAACGUGCAUUUCAUUCUCGUUUGUUGUAAUAUGAAGGAGGAUUAAAAUACUAAAUUAUGAAAACCAAGCCCUGGUACUACAUUGAAUUAUGAAGUUAUGCUCUAAAUUAAGCAGAGAGGUUCUACUAUGAAAUAAUAAUAUAUUUAGAAUAGGAAAGCAGAUAAAUUUUAAAACUACUCCUGCUGCCCACCAACCUUGCCCAAAAUGAUAAAGGCACGAUAAAGAUAUCAUACUUAAAAAUUGUAUGUUGAAGAGGCGAGCAAAGCCUAUAUGAAAAUCAUCCCUGAAUAUUUCUAAUGUUGUGCAUAUCAUCUACAAAGAAGAGAUGCAAUAGAGAAUUCACACAAGGAAGAAAUUUCUCUCUUUGUUUCAAUUUGUUUGUCUUCAUUUGACUUGAACAGAGUUUAACAAAGUAAAUUGAAUAUAAUCUUCUUGUCCUAAACAAAAGAUACCUAAAAUGUACCAAAAUGCCUUUUAAUCUUAUGAUCAAUUUGUCACGUGGAAAGUUAGAGUCAGAAGUUGUACCAAAAUUUUAUUUAAUCUUGUGGACUCAAAUAUGUUGUGCUGGAAGUUGGAAUCAGAAAGAUGCUAAAAAAAAUAAAAGACGCAUUCUUUUAAUAUAUUUUUAGAUGCCUUUUUACUCCGAACAUGCGACAUAUAUGCCUUUUUAAACUUGAUUCUCGAAUAAGUCCAUACAGACAUAUAUACCGUAACAUCCUCCGGCCCAAAUAACCUUCAUUCAGUUAAUCAACAAAGUCUGAUUUCCUUUUUAAACUAAUUAUGGAAUCUACAUAUCUCAGACCAUACAGAGAGGCUCCUGCCAAGAUUUAUGGAAAGGCUUAAUAUUAUAUCUUCUCAAAUCACCUAGACUUCUUUUGGAAUUAAAUCCACCUAAUAGGUGGUCAGUUAGUUUAAGACCCUGCUGAUUCACUAAAACCAAAUAGGAACAGAAGUUAUAAUUUGAAGGUGGGUUAUAAUUACUUUCUCUUAAAUCAAGUUAAGAUUGAGGAAAUCAGAACGAGACAACUAUUUACUUGCGGAUGUUUACAUUCUAUCAAAAUGUACUAUAGUUGUCAAAGUGUAAUGAAAUCCCACCAUAUGGCAUCAGUCUGAGUCAAAAAAUGUCAGCUAAUGGAAAAGAAAAGUAAAAUGGAAGACAUGACAAAAUCCCGUUUAGCAUCCAUAAGAAUGUCAACUGGCAUAGUUUCAAAGGAACUUUUAUGCUUAUCCCCCAAAGAAGACAACCUCUAUGUAUAAGCAAGAUCAGGCAAACUAAUAAACAUAUCUAAAUAUGAUGGGAUAAAUUACUAAAAAGAGGGAAAAAUAUAAUUGCAUAAAUUAGAAAGAACAUAAUACAAUGACAGUUACUUACAUUGCUUAGAGCGGAUGCUGGAAUUUGCUUAGAUAAUUCAAAAAAGUCCAGAAUAGGUCUUACAACCGCAGGAACAGAGAGGCCUGAAAUUGCAAACAAUAUAAGACAAAACAAGUUCUCAAUCAAAGAGAAAGGCAGAUAGGAAUAGAAGGUCAAUAAGUGUCCUUUCAAAAAAUAGUAUAGAAAAUGUACUACUUUAGUAGGUAAUUGAGUUAUCAUCAUUGCAAUGCUUCUCAUGCUAAAUGUCAUUCUUGAGAUUUUUUCAGUGUGCACCACUGCAGAAUUAUUCACAGAUGAUUGAACCACAAAAAUCUGGGGACUCAGAUAUGAAUUAUACCAUCUUGGACAGGUGACAACACCUUUUCUUUUCUAUUCCAUUAUUGUACACGUCCUAUAAUAUUGAAACCCAUGAACUUUCUUAAACCAAAAUUGAUCAAAUAAAGGAAUGAAACGAACCCCCACAAAUCUUUAAACUCAACUUCAAGAAUGGAAAAAACCCACAAAUUCAUUUUUGGUUUACAAGAAAGAUCUAAUCUUUAAACUCAACUUCAAGAAUAUGAAAACACCCAGAAAUUCCUUUUUGGUUUACAAUAAAGACUCAAUAUUUAAGUUCAAUAAUCAAGAAUGGAAAAACACCUAGAAAAUUCUUUUAGUUAACAAGUAAGAUUGAAUCUUUAAGCUCAAUAUUCAAGAAUGAAAAAAACCUAUGAAAUUUCUUUUGAUUUAAACAAGAAAAACUAAAUCCUUAAGCUCAAUUUCUCAAGUAUGAAAAAACAAAACCCAGAAAUUUCUUUUGGUAGAAUGAAAAAACAACUAGAAAUUUCUUUUUGCUUACAUAAGAAGACUCAAUCUUUAAGCUCCAAGAAGAAACCAACUUCAUCCGAUUAACAAAAAUAAAAAACAGUCAGAAGAAAAUGGAAAUAUAUGAAAAAUAACAUGAAUUAAAGAUGGAAAAAACUAAUUGUUGAAAAAUCAUGAGACAGUGAAAAAACUAUUACUUCGUCAAUUGAAGAACGUAGAGAAGAAGAGAAAUGAAUGAUCAUGGAGAAAAAUAGGCGAGAGUUAUCAAAGAGAGAUAAGGAUGAGAGUAAGGCAAUAUACGUGGAAGAAGCUGAAACAUUUAUUACAAUUUAAAAUUAUGAAAUUGCCCUCAGUUGUGCC
rnacentral:lncRNA from 1 species